AUAGUUAAGAGUUUGAUCCUAGCUCAGGAUGAACGCUGGCGGCGUGGAUAAGGCAUGCAAGUCAAGGGGGGUGCAUCACACUGCGUGUGAUGCAGGUAGCAGGUUUCAGGUAGCAGGUUUCAACCUGUCUCACCUGUCACUUGCAACCUGCAUCGUGCGUUGCGCGAUGCAUCAACCGGCAGACGAGGUAGUAAUAAUUAGGUACGCACCCUAGGGUCGGGCAUAGCUCGUCGAAAGACGGGGUAAUUCCCGAUAGUCUCGCAAGAGUAAAGUUUUUUCGCCCUGGGAGCGGCCUGAUCGGUAUCAGCUAGUUGGUAGGGUAACGGCCUACCAAGGCUAUGACGCCUAGGGGACCUGAGAGGGUGACCCCCACCGAUGGGACUGAGAC
rnacentral:rRNA from 1 species